ensembl:lincRNA
UCUUCUUUUUACAACAUCUCUUUGCCUCUUAAUGAAACCAUUGAGGCAAACAUGGUACCAGUGUCUGGCCCUCCCACUGUCCUGUCAAAUCCUGUUCUUGGGGAAUGAUUGAAUUGGUGUGUAGUGUUCCUGAUGAUGUCUGCAUCUUGGAGGCCCACAGGUUGCAGCAGCAGCCCCGGAGCUUUUGACUGCCCAGGGACACCUUCUAUGUCAGAGGGACCAAGGUGGAUCCUGGGCAAGAUGGAGCUGACAGGUGUCCAGUGGUGUUUGAGCAUCAUGGAAGUGGCCCGUGACUGCAUCUGCUUCACCUUUGGAAAGAAGAAAUUUGGAACGGAGGUGUGGUCUGCUCCUGAUAUGACACCUUGUUUAAAGCAACUUCAGGUCCUCCUGGGGCUGGAUGAGGGGGACUCGCAGAGGAGGGCUUGUGGAGGGAGAGUCUUUAUGAAGUGGUAGAGUGAACACUUCAUAUUUUAAGCCUGGGAAAAAAGCAUCUCCUGGCAGGCAGUCUUACCAAGUGUGUGCAGGCUGUGGUGGAAUCUUCCAAGGCCUGUUUGCAGCUCCAUUUGAGGUGCUCCGUUUCCUGGCUCUACAAUGGCCCUGUUAAAAUCCUACCCCAAAUCGUUGGUUCACAUACAAGGUGACAGGCAAGGUAAUCAUUUUCUUUGGCUGCCGUGUGCUUCCCAGUUUACAGCCCCUCCAGAUCCAGCGUGGAAGAAGGAUGAGAUGCUGCCGAAUCUUUGUGCGGACUCCAAAUGGUUCCCUCAUGAAGAAGGCGGCUUGGGAAAGAAAACGAUGCAUCAACACAUUUGUCCUGAGAAUGCUCACAGAAAACAGAAGGCGAAAGAGAAUGUUAAGCAAGGAACAAACCCAGAGCAAAGGCCGUGUGGUACGCAGAGACUUGAUUUUCUACCUCACUGCCUAAAGAAACAGUGCACUCCAAGCUACUGCCAAAUUGAGUUCAUCUCUCCCUUCCUCAUUUAAAAAAAUUAUUUAUUUAGUUAGUCAGUUGGGUUAAUUUUAAUUAGGGGAGAGAGACAGACAGAGAGAUUAUUCACCUUCAGAACUUCCAUCAGGGAAACCCUGUCAACAGAUCACGUGUCUGUCCUUGUUCACCCCGGCAAACACAGCGCUUUGCUAUUAAACCAUUCUUAAAGAAACAGUCAAACUCUGAGACCCCACUGGAAAUGGAAGUUAACAUUUUGUCAUAGAAGACUUUGAGGAAAAGAAAAAAAAAAUGCUACCCAUAGAACUCCCAGAGACACACACGGACAUCACUUUUGUCUUGGGUCCGGCCAGCAUCAUGGUUUGACAUCCCUUUGUCAUCUAGAAUGGCCCUGAAGGUCUGUGAUUAUAUUGGAGAUGUAAAUGAGCAAGGGUGGCUAAAUCACAGCCAUGCCUGGAAAAUAUAAGUAUGGGGGCCACUCUGCCUGACCUAUGGUUGGGACUGGCUAAGCUUAAGGAUAUGAUUAUGCAUCCUGCUUCUGUACUUGCUGAUGAAAUGCACAGAGACCCCUCCCUCCAUCUUACACUUGUAUGCACUUCUAACAAAAUUCCAACUUUAUUUUAAUCGCUAUUCAUAAAAAGGCUGAAAGUAUAUUUGUGAUGUCUUGAUCGAUUUCUUUUUUUUUUUUUCAGAAGAAAAGUUUUCUAAGUACCUAUAGUUUUUUUCAGGAAAUGGAAUUCCAGUUUCUGUUUUUAUUUAUAUAAACAGGAAGUUCCACUAAAGCAAUUCUACAAAGACUUAAAAUCGAGUGCAUUAUAUCAGAAUAAAAUGUUGUGGGGUAAGAGAAAGUAAAUAUGAGAUCACGAAGAAAAAGAAGUAAAAUUGUGG